AGGUGGCUUUGCUGUAAUCCUCUCUGGAAGAAAGGCCAAAAGAAGGCUCUUGCGGAGAUCCUUAUUAACUCCUUUUCAAUUUGCUGGCAGCGUGAGAUGUCACUUAGAUUCUGGCACAGCCUUUAGGCAAAGGCCAGAGGAUGCCAGCAGUGUCUCCAGCUUUCUAACCUGCAGGUAAAUGGAGACGUUUCAUUUCAAGCGUCAGUGCUUCCCUACCACACCACGAACAAAAAAUCCACCCAACAACGCCCCUAAACUGGACAAAGCUGAGAAGCUUUGCUGAAAGCAGCGUUUCAAUAUAGUUUGACUGCAAAAGCCUACAUCAGGAGUUAAACAUUUUAUGGCUCUUCCGAACUUCGGUAAGUUACUUGAAAUGCUUAUUGGCUCUAGCAGUGUUUGAUACCAAUAGAGAUGCACUGGCACUGGCUGUGUAACUUCAGAGGAAAAGCGGAGACUACAGGAACAGAAGACCAUAGGAAACGGCCUGGGAGCGGGAAGAAGAAUGAACAUUUCUGAAGCAUGCUGGCUUGGGUCAACUGAGGCUAUUAAGUCAACUCUUCGUGGGCAUUAUGCAUUUUGAGUGACAAAAACCUCACCAGCAUGUUGGAGGAAUUUCAGAGAAAUAAUGCUGCGAGGAGAACUACCCAUUGUCCCUGGAGAGAAGAGACCAGCAGGCGAAGCCAGACUCACUACAGCGAGCUCUAUGCCUACUGUGAGGUGAUCUCUGCUCAGCCUGAACGUGGGAGAAGUACAGAAUGUGCCCCUGGAGAGAGAGGGGGCAGCACAAUUUGUAGCUCCAGGAGAGAGACAGAGGGCUUUGGAGGAACCUCUGGCUACUUUACAGAAACUUAGCAAGACCACUGGAAAAGUUGCCUGGCUUUAUUUUGAAGGUUCUCGAUAUCCUCCUGGCUAAACACCAGAGAAGAGCCUCACAGCUUAUCCAGCCAAAUACCAGAACAGACAUUUAGGAACAAAGACACACUACAAGACUGGAAACAAUAUUCUGUAAAGCAGGAAAUCUGUGGAAGGAACAAGGGAAUGCAGAUGGACAUGGUCUGAGGGCAACACUUCCAACUUUCGGAGGAAACAGAGUCAUGGGUAUAUUCAACAUGAGCUGUAUAAAGACUGAGUUGUAUCAUUCUCUCUACACUGCAGAAUUGAUAUCCAUGUUUUCAGAAAUCUACUGGAAAUUUGAAAAGAUUUUAGAGAAGACCUACAAGAAAAAGCCAAUCGCCAAGAAGCAUGCUUUACUUCACAAGACUAACACUCUUGGAUAAACUAAACAGAGUGACAAGGUUAAAAAGCAGCCUAAUUGCAUUCUUCAGGUACCUACAUGGAGAAGCAACUCUCAAGAGUAGUCAGCACUUUAAUCUACCAGAAAAGGACAUAGUGAGAGCUAAUGGUUAGAAGCUUAAGCUAGACAAACACAAGAUAGAAACAAGGCAUAAUUUUAACUGUGAGGAAAAAAAAAAUAAAUCCUUGGAACAAAUUAUUGAGGAAUGAGGUGCAGUCAAUGAUGUCUUUAAAUCAAGGCUCAAGAAAUUUGCAAAGUCAGAUGUAAUUAGUUUAAUGACAAGAAUACUGAUUGAAAGGCUAUGGACCAUAGAUAACCUUAACUGUUUCCUCUGGUCUUAAAAUUUAUAAAUCUUUCCAGAGGCUACAAGGUUUUCCAAGGACAGGGAUUUCUGCUAUUCAUGCCAGAUUAUGUCACCUAUGCGCUGCACUUUGACUUUGCUUCAGAUCAAUCCUGAAAGAAAAGUUGACAUCAAAUAUGUAAGUCUAUUUAGCACAGCCCUUCUUGGAGACUCAGGCAUUGCUCCUUUUAAAUUGGCACUGGUGAUUUUGGGGCACAAAUUCUCCUAGAUCGCAGCCCAAGUUCUCUGAAUGAGCUCACUAUCUGCCAAACCCACAUCUCCUCGCCCAUGCCAACACUCAGAAAUGCUGCUCCCAGUACUGCACAGGUGGCUGCUGCUGACUGUGGCACAGAGCAGGGGUCCUCUGGGAAAUGUGUCAACCAACUUACUGAAGCCAGCUACUCCACUGUCACCAAACAAAUGCAGGCUCAUUUGCCCUGCAGCAAUCACAUCUUUAAUCUUAGAGGCUGCUUUUACCUGGCUUCACAUGGUGCAGUGUGAGAGAAGCCAAAUCUAAGGAGUCACAAGUGAGCAGCUCUAAGCUGCUGCCUUAAAGCCCUUGGUACAGGCAAACACAUUUUAUUCCCUCUCGCUAAAGUUGGGAUUCCUAGAUAAACAGCAAAGAGUGCCUUCAAUAGAACUUUGAGUAAUCAAUGCCACAUGAUUAUUCUAUCCAUCCAAACAGUUAAGUCCUUUUGGUUCUUUUAAUUCCAUUAGUAGUAACACUGCCUCUGUCCCUUACCUGUCCUCCCAGGUACUUCCCUGAGAUAGAACAGCACUGGCCUGGCAGGGUGCGGCAUCACCAGGUUCACCUCCACUCUAUACCCAAUUAAUACUCAUAAAGUCAGGACAUCUGGCUUGAAUCCCAAUCCACGCAGACAGGGCUGUGUUGAACACAGAGCACAGCAGCAAAGGCCACUCACAGCCACAGCCACUAUGCUGUUUGCUGCAGUCACUAUCGCGCUUUAGUUUUGUAGUAUAUUUCUUCUAGAGAAGGGCCCUGUGUGCAGCCCUGCUAUUCAGAAUCCCAUUAACUUUUUAUUUGAAAAACUUCCACCUUCUAAAGUGUAGCCAUUUCAGAAAACACUGCACUGUGAUUAGCUGCAGUGACACCACCUGCCAUUCCUGACCCAAACCACAGUAAAAGCUCACAUUCACUCAGAUGUGACUGUGACAUGCUUUCAUACUUAUUUCCAAACUCAGUAUAGAUAGACCUGGAUCAAUAGCAAUAAAUCUCCUAUGGGAUUCAAAGAUGUUUGGAGCUGGGAUCACAAUUUUCCUUACAUGAUUCUAUAGGCCUAAGAACAACAGCAAAAGCCCCCAGGUGUUGCUGUAGUGAAAAUAAGAUGUAUACACAGAGAAGUGCAAAGUGCAGUUUUUUUGUGCCUUGUGAAGUUUUUUGAGGUACUGAAAGGCUGUAAGGAGUUCAUAACAAUGUUUAUAAAUGCUGGAAAAGGCAGUUUUAGCAAGAAUGAAAAUCUGUCUGAGACUUGUUCUGUUGUUUAUUCAUUAUUCACCAUUGUUCAUUUUCCUCUAAUACAUUUUCCUUAUUCUGUCAGGGGAAUUCUAAACACGCUAUUUGGCCAGGAUGACAAACUGCACAAUCUAAAUAUUAAAUAGCAAAAAGUCAAAGAGAAUGCUUUUUGAAAAACCUGUAGGUAACAAAAAAAACCCCAAAAAAGCCCAGAUUAAACCAGUGGCAUUAAAGAAACUGCAGGCUGGGUUAGUCUGCACAUGAGUCACUAAUUCAAAGGAGCAACCUUGUACUUUCACCAAUAUUGCCAGCUUUUGGGACACUUUGAGAAGUCACAUAGUACUUGCAUGGGGGUUUGUAUAAUACUCCAACUAUGGAAUCCAGCAGCUAUAGCUGAGAAUUUUGGCUUUUAUUAAAAAAGGGUUUAUUAUAAAAUGUUGAGGCCUCAUGGGUUUUGCUAAAAGUCUGAAGACACUUGAAAGCAAAAGGCAUCCCCUGUCCCCCCCUCAACUUAGUAAGAAGAAAGAGCUGUAUUUGUCAUUCUGCCUCACCACCAGUGUUAUCUUGCAUGAUUUCAUACCUGAAUGCUGGCAGCUUCUCUACCUGGUAAAGCUCUGGCAUAGCUCCGGGGGCUGGUGCUAUGACUAUGUAACAGAUGCCAUAGCUAUUUAGACUAUUCAUACUAGUUCAGAAUCUAAUAAAAUAACCAGUCCUUCUUAUGGUACACCUGUGUGAAUUUUUUUCCUAAGCAGAUCCUAUUUAAAUCCCAUUUUUCUACAAAGCAUGACCACUCUUACAAGAGGCAUCAGCCACAUUCUCUCAGCUGUGUACCUCUGUGACCAGCAGAGGCCAGCUCUCCAGUGGUCACGCGAGAAUUGGUUGACUACGCAACACAGUCUGACAGCAACAGUCAGGGAAGUCUUUACUAGGCCAAAUUUCACCUUUCUUGGGCUUGACUGCUGGAAAAUGCAAUAAUCAAAAAACUAUUAGAGUUUCUUUAUCUGUGAUAAAGUUUCUUUAUCUGUGAUAACUUUUUCCAAAACAGAAAAGAAAGUUACAGUAUCAGGUUUUUUCCCCUAUUACUAAUCUUCUUGACAAACUGUUGCUGAAAUUUUUCCCACCACAUCUGUGAAGACAAAUGGAAUAAAAAGAAAAGCCAGUGGCUCCACUUAUCUUUCUAAUUAACACAGAAUACAUGUUGACUAUGUAAUUUCCGAAGACCCCAUCCAAUCUCGUAUUGCUCGCAUAAAUACAUGAUAUGGUCAGAGUCCAUAUCUCCAGAUUUUUGAAGAUUUGGAAGUCAUCAAGAGAACUAACAACAGUGAAACACAGUGUUAACUGGAAGCGCUGCAGCAUAUUAACAACGGAAAAAAAGCCACAACUCUCAAACUGUGUUGCAUCAAAAGAGCAAGGUGGCAACAAUUCUGAGAGGAGGAAAACUGCAGAAAUCACUGAGACAGAAGCUGGGGCGUAAAUACCAUAGAAGGCAGAGCGUACUUGAGGGAUGAAAGGCUUUGAGAAACUGGCUAUGUGACCACCACAUGCAAACAUGCCGGUGCAAAACGCUCCACUGAAGGAGAAACGCGACAGUGCUCUCUGCUGCCAACACAGACAAGGGUCCUUCAGAGCUCAUUAGCACCACCAAGAGAUUUGCACAGCUAAAAUGACGAGGACCACAAUACCGCUACAGAAAGUCUUGAGACAGGGAGUGGAUUCCCAUUGUUCCAAAACUGCAAAGGCCACAUCCCCGUAAACAGAUUUCACUGAGCAGCAAUGAUUUCUUUGCUAACCUCAAAUUAGUGGUAACAAUGGACCUUACAGCCAAAUCCACACAGCAGUCUAUAGGAGAAGCAUUCAGUCAAGAAUCACAAGUGCUGUAAACUGGAGGAUGAGCUACGAAGAACAGUAUCCAUCUUGCAAAACGGAAUGUCUCAUCAUGUAGACAAACAAAUUGUUGAUAGAAAAAUGUGCCACAGACAAGCUAAUCUUGGAAACAGAGUUGAAACCAUGCAAAUCAAAAGCAAUGGAUAUUCAGGUUCUGCAUAAAGCAGCUUUGCAGAUGAAAAAUGACACCCAGCAUACACGGAGUAAAUGAGUCCUGUCAUCCUUCACUGAGAGGACUGAAAUAAGUUUCAAUUACUGAACCCAUUGCACUCACCUUUUUCUACAACAUAAACAGGACAACAGAAAUGCUUACGCUAAUCAGCCAGGGCUGAAUUUCCUUUCAUCAAGACAGCUUACGCAGACACGUGGGAAAAAAACACCCACAUUUAACAAGUAGAAAAAAAAUAGUGGAAAACUGUGAAAGCUAGGUAUUCAGAGGAUGACUGAUUCACCAAAACUAUGUGAGGGCUUAAAAAACCCCACAACUUCUGAAACAACCAAUGUAAAUGUUAAUAAUGCAAAAGA